AGAAUGCUCAGAACUUCCAAUGCUAUGUUGAAUAGGAGUGAUGAGAGAGAGCAUCCUUGUCUUGUGCUGGUUUUCAAGAAGAAUGCAUCUAGAUUUUGCCCAUUCAGUAUGAUACUGGCUGUGGGUUUGUCAUAUAUGACUAAUAUUUUGAGUAUUGCCAAGUCCUGGACCAGUUUGUGUACAGGUCUCUGGCCAACUGUGUCACCUCUUCUGCAUUUCACCUGCACCGUCAAAUGCGGAGGACUGGAGGCACUGAGAGACUGAUGCAAACUCUGGAGAGAAACUGAGGUGAGUUCUAAUUCCUUCUCAAAAUUCCAAUAUUCCGUCCUCCUUUCCAGACUUCAGGCCCACCACUAAACUAGGGACUCAGACUUUACAUUGACUUCUUCACUGGCUCUCGUAAUUACUUUAAUUCGAAUCUCUGUAACGAAUUUCUUAUAUCACUCCUAGUGGUUCUGUGAAAGAUUUCAUUUUUCAGAACUGGCUUUAACAAUAUUUCCCACCCCACUUGUUCUUCCAGAACAUUAUUAUUCC
rnacentral:lncRNA from 1 species